GGCGGAACCAGCCUUGCCACUGUGACUAUGGUCCCUCUCAUCAGCCCAUGCUAGAUUUAAACCCCAUGGCGAUUUGACUGUGUUUGUGGGAUCUGAGCGCUGUUUGGAUAUAUUGAGCGCUCAGAUCCAAGCCAUCUGGGGAUAGGUUGAAUGUGGGGGUUCUGUUCAGUAGGACAGGAAUUAUGCAUUUUUGCUGUUUUUGUGAAUAGAGACAUUUUCUGUACCUGGUGAUAGUUGGCUUACCAC